CAGAAAUGAGAAAAUCAUUUCCUUUCAAAAAUUAAUGUGAAAUUAAACAAGAGUAAUCCUCUUUCCAAAUAUUAUGCAAUAUUAAAAUAGAGAUAUAUCAUCUCAUUUCAAAUUUUGUAAUUUUGCAAAUAAAUUGUUGCUUUCAUAAUCAUGCGAGAAUAAUAGUUGGUGCAUGAUUUAUGAAUUUUGAAUUACUCUUUUGUGUAAAUAUGCAUUAUAUUCAAAAUCAUGCAUAUUUUCACAAAUUUUUUUAUUUCUAAAUAUUUAAAUAUUUUCUUCUCAAUUAUUGUUUCAAAACUAAGCAAUAUAAAUCUAAUUUUAGAAUAGAGGGC
rnacentral:lncRNA from 1 species